GGGCAUGCAUGGGCGCAGCUGAUGCAGCCAUGCCGCGUGUGUGAGAAGGCCUUCGGGUUGUAAAGCACUUUCAGUAGGGAGGAAGGUUCCUACGUUAAUAGCCUAUGGAUUUGACGUUACCUACAGAAGAAGCACCGGCUAACUCCGUGCCAGCAGCCGCGGUAAUAA
rnacentral:rRNA from 1 species